rnacentral:rRNA from 1 species
AUGGUCGCCAUCAUCGUCUCCUCCAUGGAGGCAGACACUUUAGGAAGAGGAAGAGGGAGGAGGGAGGGGACGGGGGAGGGCAGCGCCCGUAGCCGCGUGUGUGUGGCCGUGGCCCCGGAGCGGCAGAGGAGGGGUAGGGUGAUGCUCGCCGUGGCGGCCUCGACGGGCAACUACGUGGUGCCACCUUCCUCUAAGACCGGUCGCCUCAUGCUGCGGCUACUGGCAGUGGCGAAGCGAGUCUCCCACCUCACCACCACCGCUGCUUGCCAUCCGUCCCUCCUUCCAUCCAUGGCGGCGUCGACCUCCGGCGUCAGCAGGUUCAGCGCGGCGGCGGGCAACAACAAUGGCAGCGUCGGUCUCCAAGACCCCAUCCCGGCCUCUGUUGGAAUAUUAUCUGAAACAAGAUUAUCCUCCUGCCUACCUGCCUGCAAGUGGAUGUUUUGUAAUGGCACACCGUCUCAGAUGGUUGUCGCCGGUGGCGAGUUUCGGGCAUUGUCUCAUCAAUUUUACCGAACUCCUGAACACCAUAGAUUUGUGCGGCAACAGGUGGUCAAUCAGCACAGCUGUAUGUACAAGGAGCAGAGCGCAUCGGUUCAUGCUCGAGCCCCGAAGAAGUGGAUCCCCAAUUAUAUAUCUGUCCCUAUCAAUGCAAAUGCUGAGCCAUGUUCCACUUUUACUGCUUUCCACAUCGACCGGGGCCUGCUUGAGCUGAGGGCUAGGGUGAGGGACGUGACGACGUCACAACUCAAGGCGACGGCUGCCAUCGGUCAAGUGUGGCUAGUCGAGGCUGCCCGUUGUGUUUCGUCGCAGUUGCAGGCCGCGAGAUCAAGCCGGGAAGGCUCCACGCAUUGA